rnacentral:lncRNA from 1 species
CCCCCCUCCUGGAGUAAUCUUUAUGGCUGGCUGCAUGCAAGAACAGACAGGUGCAGAGAUAAAGCACAUCCAUCUUCAGUGACUCUUCUGAAUGCAAAUGACUCUAAGGCUCAGGCAGUCAUUUCCAGAGUCUUGAAAUCCCUUAUGCAGUCUGAACCAUCAUUGGUGUCAGUUUUGCCUGCAUAAGCACUUUAAGAUGAAAUCCUAACCUCUGAAUUAGCAUAAAACAUUCUGUAUAAAAAUCAUUCACAUUAGAGGCUCUCUGUCAAUUUUUGAACUGGCAUUGCUAUUGUCUUGUAUUUUAAAUCAGUUUAGAAAUCUUUCCCCUUCUCUAAUUCGUUUCCUUCGUUCUCAGUCUGACAUUCCUCAUCAUUCCUGUCAGGUGGGUUACAUCUGCUGUAUUUGCUGGAGCCUACAGAGAUUGGGGUGGGGGGAAAGAAAAUAUGGAAUUUGCCCAACUAAUGUGGUUCAAAUCAAGCUCACGAGAAACCAUUUUCCCUGCUUAUAUUUACACAGGUAUGAUAGAUUUAUUUCCCCCAGGAGUCCUCUGUUUUCUCCUGAAAUUUGACCAUGUGUGACUCAUUUGUCUGUAUGUUAUUCAGCUGCACAGAUAAAAUACAUCCAUCUCUUCUAAAUGCAAAUUCUCAGCAAGAGUAAGCCGAGUAAGCUUUGUCACAGCAAGAAGCAAGAGGGCAGACAUAGUGGACAAGAAAAACCCUACCGAGUAAAGGAUCUCAAGAUGCACACAGCUGUUCCCAAAUGUUAGUCAGUGAAUGAGGCAGUCAUUGAUGAAUCUGAUAGUGAAUUUGAUAACGUAGUUGGGGCUCAAACACUUGAGAGCUACAUCCCCAGGACUUACGGGAGGGCCAGAGAAGCCAGAACUCAAGACUGCAGGAACCCAGGUGUGACUUUGGUGUCCACUAUGUGGUCAUAUGGCCACCGUGUAGCCUCCUUACUCUGGACCACUUUGUUGAAAUGGAGACCUAUGGAGGUUGCCUAAAAAACUUUGCUUUAAAAAUUCUUGAGAAGCAGAGGAUUGACUAACUCAAUUCUUAAAUGAAAAGAUAUACCCCUGGAGCCAUAUGGAAAUUUGUGGGAGGAUUUGAUUGUCACACUGAUGGGGAGGCACCACUAGCGUUUAGUGGGUGGGGCCAGAGGCAGUAAACACCCUGCAACGUGUGGGAUAUGGUCCCCAUGACAAAUUUCCCUAACUUCUGCCCACAUUUAAAAUGUCCAAUCACGGAAGUGAAAAAACACACGAUAUAAUUAUCUGAGCCAUAUAUCUAACUCCAUUUAACAUAUACACACAAGGUAUUUUUAACAGUUUUAAUACACAUUGACUUUUUCAAGAACGCAACCAUUGUGUGUAAAUACUUUGUUUUGUUUGAAAUUGACCAGCCUUUCAGUAAAUCUCUGAGAACAAGGCAUGGGUCUGCAUAUGUAAUGUCACAUUUUGUAUAUCGAUACGAAUGUACUUACCUUGCCUUUAUUUCAAAAUGUCAAAUAUAAAGAAAAAGUGUUGACAAUAUUCAGUUGAGUAUUGUCUUACUUCUGUGAAGCUCAAACUAAUUCAUUACAAAUAGUGGUAUCGGACUUAGAACUGUCUUUUAGUUUGGCCAUGCCAAAAAUAUGCACACUUUUAUUAUAAAUUACUUUCCUUUUAUUUUUCCUUUUUAUUAGUUUGUGCUGGACCCUGCGGGCCCCACUGAGAUCCCCACUUCAGGACCUCCCUAGCAGCUGAGAGCACUGAUCGUGAGCAGCCAGGGCUUAGGGUCACCACCAACUCCCCACAAUUGCUCCUGUCUGAAAAAGGCUGCCUCUUCCAAGGUCCUGCCCCAUGACUCCUCCAUAGGAGGAGCCCUCAUCCACUUACUGGUCACUGGGGGAUAAUAAGGCCCCAAUUAGGCACAAUUCUACAAGAGCAAUCUGCUCCAGAGCUCCCUGUGGGAUCUGCUGGGUCGUGUGGAAUUGCAUGGCAGCGUGACCCAACUUUUCCCUCUGCCCAAGCCUGCUUCCAUCUCCCUCUCACAGGUGUUGAUCCCAAGAGUAUGUCCCCAAACACCAUCUCAAGUUCUUUUUCCUGGGGAACCUGACCUGUGGCACAGUGAAAGCAUUAUAAUUGAUUUUGGACAUUGGGCAUUACAUUAUAUAGCAAUUUUAAUUUGGGAUAGUAAAGGGGGAAAGGAAAAAAUAUUUGCAAUAAAUGAGAGGUACCAGAUUUCAUGGGGUUGAGAACCACUGGACUAGGUGAUCUCUUCAGAGUCCCUCUACCUUAAGAUCUUCCCCUUUUGUGUAGCAACGCUGCUUUUUCUAGAUCCUGAAAUUAACCAAGACUCAAAAUAAUACUUUAUGUAACUGUUUUGCACCCACUUGAAUAAAAUAAGUGGUCCUGUACAGCAUCAUUGCACAUCAGCACUUUUUUUCUAGAUUAUCCACCCACCAUGCGAUGUAUCCCUGGGGGAGUAAUUGCUACAUGUGAUGCAGCCAGCAAAGCCCAAGGCGUGUGUGCCAGCAGAG